rnacentral:rRNA from 1 species
GCUCAGGAUGAACGCUGGCGGCGUGCCUAAUACAUGCAAGUCGAACGAGGUGCUUUUGUAGCAAUACGAGAGUAUCCUAGUGGCGAACGGGUGAGUAACGCGUUGGUGACCUACCCCAAAGUGUGGGAUAACAGUCCGAAAGGAUUGCUAAUACCGCAUGUGGUUAUUGGAUCUAGAAACUGAUAACUAAAGGAGCAAUUCGCUUUGGGAGGGACCUGCGUCCCAUCAGCUAGUUGGUGAGGUAACGGCUCACCAAGGCUACGACGGGUAGGGGACCUGAGAGGGUGGCCCCCCACAAUGGAACUGAAACACGGUCCAUACACCUACGGGUGGCAGCAGUAGGGAAUAUUGCACAAUGGGCGAAAGCCUGAUGCAGCAACGCCGCGUGUGCGAUGAAGGCCUUCGGGUCGUAAAGCACUUUUCUGAGAGAUGAGAAAGGACAGUAUCUCAGGAAUAAGUCUCGGCUAACUACGUGCCAGCAGCCGCGGUAACACGUAGGAGGCGAGCGUUAUCCGGAUUCACUGGGCGUAAAGCGCGUGCAGGCGGUUUGGUAAGUUGAUCGUGAAAGCUCCCGGCUCAACUGGGAGAGGUCGGUCAAUACUACCGAACUAGAGAGUAGAAGAGGAAGAUGGAAUUCCCGGUGUAGUGGUGAAAUGCGUAGAUAUCGGGAGGAACACCAGUGGCGAAGGCGAUCUUCUGGUCUUUUCUGACGCUCAGACGCGACAGCUAGGGUAGUAAACGGGAUUAGAGACCCCGGUAAUCCUAGCCGUAAACGAUGUGAACUAGGCGUCGGUGGCUUAAACACCAUCGGUGCCGAAGCAAACGCGAUAAGUUCACCGCCUGGGG